CUGAACCAUCGGACCUUAUUUGUCAGCUUGGAUCACGUGAUCCAUCCAGCUGCCGCGUGCGGCAAACAGCCCAAAUAGCGCUAACUCUGGCCUGCGAGCGUUUGCUGCGACUAGCGCGCUAGCGCUCGUGACAUACACAAACGCGCUAGCCAGAAUGCUUUGACUUUGAUGGCUUUCAAGUUUCAGCUUCUAUUUUUUGAAAAGUAGCGCGCUCAGACCAGCUCGCUCACUCUUUUCCUCUUCCAUUUUUUAGGGCAAUUGUUUUGUUUGAUAGACGAAGCUUAGGGUCUCUUUGGGUUUGCAACCCUUACCCUCCUGGAAAAAAUCAUAGUUGUGCUAGACUGCGACACUUCAGACCAGGUACUAUUAGAGCCGCUAAUGGACGACGAGCUAUUUUCCGCUAUCCGGAGCUCAAGCAUUUGAGCCGCUAAAUGGACGAGACUCCUGGGGUAAAGGAUGCAGAGAAUGAGGAGAAAACACUCGUAUGGAGCAGGGAGUAGGUAUUGUACUACUUCCUGGUAUGGAGCACUGAGAAGCGCAUUAGGCGAUUUGAUCGCAGGACAAGAGAGGAGCUGAUGGACGAUCUCUCCCGUGUCCCUCUUGGUUCGGAGCAGCGCCGAGUGCUGACGUUGGGACUUGGAGUUCUAGCAUCCGUAGCUGCCUCAGGGGGUGCCACUUCUCCCAUCAGCGUCGACUAGUCCGCCGAUCUCACUCAGCUCUGCUCUCCGAGCAUGCUGCUUCCAACACGACUUCCCGAAAGAAAAUGUGCUCGCGCAUUAGAAGGAGGUGAAAGAUGCACCUGCAGGAGAAUACAUGCUUAAGAGAAGGCAGAAACAUGCCCGGAUCCACCAGAACUAGUGCUGGCAAGUCAACAGAGGCAAGUACUGAUAAUGUUCCAGAUUGUGGUAGGAUCACAUAAGCAAAAUUGACACUGGGAGGCACGGCGGUGGGUCAGCUCAUGGCCAGCGCCAGCUCCAGUGGAUAUCACGUGCAUCCAGUUCUAGUACUAUAGUAUGACUGCUACAAAGUAGUGCGGCCCAAAUAGAACUCGGGUCAGGUGCCGAAGAACUGGGGGGUGGGGGGGGGGCAUGUAUCAAUGAAUGGUAAUAACUCCGGAAAUCAUGCUGGUGUAUCGAGGGCGUGGGCCAAUGAAGUGCUGGAUUGAUGGUGGACGACUGUACUGCAAUCUUGGCUGGUCCCACUAUCGCAGAGACAGCACUUCCUGGUGCAACCACCCUAUCCUGCAAUCUAUAUAAUAAUUAUUAUAAGAGAUUUGUGUGAACGAUUUUAGCAUGAUGCAAGUCAGCUUAUUGUGCUGGGGGCCUGGCUACAUGUCACUAUAGCUUUUUAUAGACUCGAUCACCGCAUUACGCUGCCUUGCGUUGACUUGAUUGAGCACUCUUUUUGGUUAGUGUCAAAGGUAUAUGUAAUAUGUAUCUGCCUUCGUGCAAAGCUCUCUUUGUGCGUGUCUUGCAGAUAGCUCGCUGACUUUGAUGCUUUGAGCCAUUUUCAAAUUGCUUUUUUUGUUCAUUUCAUAUAGACCGUAUUGCCAUUUGUUUAACCUCC